rnacentral:rRNA from 1 species
GACGAACGCUGGCGGCGUGCUUAACACAUGCAAGUCGAACGGAAAGGCCCGGCUGCUGGCGGGUGCUCGAGUGGCGAACGGAUGAGUAACAAGUGAGUAACCUGCCUUUGCCAUGGGGAUAACCACAAGAAACUGGGGCUAACACCGACUAGGAACACCUGCUGCAUGGUGGAGGCCGGCAAGUUUCGGCGGUUGGGGAUGGAGCUGCCGCCUCACGAGGUGUUGGUGGGGGAGUGGCUUGCCACGGCGUUGACGGGCGGCCGCCCUGAGAGGGUGACCGGCCACAGUGGGCUUGGGGUGCGGCCCGGACUCCUACGGGCGGCAGCAGUGGGAGUUAGUGCACAAUGGGCGGCAGGCUGGUGGAGCAACGCCGCGUGCUGGAUGACGGCCUUCCGGUUGUAACCCGCUUUCGGCUGUGACGAAGCGUGAGUGACGGUAAUGGGUAAAGAAGCACCGGCUAACUACGUG